rnacentral:lncRNA from 1 species
UCUUCAAUCCUCUCAAACCUUUAGGUAACCAGCCACUUCCUCUUCCAUCUCCAUCAAAUGAAUUUAGGAAUUUUUUCUAUUACAACCUUUUAGACUUUCAUUGAAUAUUGAUUAUUUAUUUACUUGUUCAUGCAUAUAUUUUUUCUAUAUAAAUCACCUAUUUUUAUUUAUGUAAUCAACAAGUGAAUGAAAUAUUUUGAAUGCAUUAUCAUUAUCUCCAUCAAAUUUCCAUCUCUCUUUCAAUAUUUAUCUUUUAUCUCUAAUUUUCUAUCUUUUACUUUUGCUAUUCUUACUCUCUCUCUCUCUCUCUCUCAAAUCCUUUUAUUUUUCCUCUCACUCUCCCUCUCUUUAUAUCAAACCCGAACACAUACUUUCUUAAAACAGAACCAUGUACCCGGACCAUGACAACUUAGUAUCAGAGCAACGAUCCAGAUUCAACUUGAUGACCGAUCGCAUCGUGAAACUUUUCGAUUGGAUAUAGCAACAACUUGAUCUAAUGAUCAAGAUGUUGGGCAGCGAUGUUCCCUAUCCAGAGGCUGUAAAAACAAUGGCUGUUGCUAUGGUUGUAUGAGUGGUGUAGAGUGGCACUCUUCCUUUCCCUCUACGACGUGACGAAGAAGAUGGAAAAAGAAGUGAAAGGACUGUUAUGGUAAAGGACCUUAAAGUCGGUUUAGUGACUAAACUGGUUGCAAAAAUCCUAAAGCCACUCAAUUCAAAUUAGACUAGUUCAAAGAAAAUAUAUAAGCAGAUUGAACCCGGUUCAAACUAGAUUGGAUCAUUGAACCGAAUCAGUUCAUACUCAUUUGAAGAAGAAAAAGAAGAACCAGAAGAAGAGGAUGACGAAGAAGAUCCAUCUAAGAAGAAGAAGACCCAGAAAAAGAUGACGAAAAAGAAAAAGAGGAAGAAGAAGAUGUAUCUAAAGAAAUU